rnacentral:tRNA from 3 species
GGAAGGGUGGCCGAGUGGCUUAAGGCGCACGCCUGGAAAGUGUGUAUACGUGAAAGCGUAUCGAGGGUUCGAAUCCCUCCUCUUCCGCCA